AUUGCUUCUCGGCCUUUUGGCUAAGAUCAAGUGUAGCAUCUUUGCACAGAGAUGAUGAGUAGGUAAUUCUGUUAAUACCUCUUUGUUACUGUAAAUUCCAAGAAAAGGUGACUACUUUCAUGCAAAAGGUUUUCAUUAAAGCAGAUCUGGUCAUUACACAGGGCUUUAAAAAUUA
rnacentral:snRNA from 1 species